GAUGAACGCUAGCGGCAGGCUUAAUACAUGCAAGUCGAGGGGCAGCAGGUCUGUAGCAAUACAGAUGCUGGCGACCGGCAAACGGGUGCGGAACACGUACAGAACCUUCCUUCGAGCGGGGAAUAGCCCAGAGAAAUUUGGAUUAAUACCCCAUAGUACAUUGAAGAGGCAUCUCUUUAAUAUUAAAGAUUUAUCACUUGAAGAUGGCUGUGCGGCNGAUUAGGUAGUUGGCGGGGUAACGGCCCACCAAGCCUACGAUCAGUAACUGGUGUGAGAGCACGACCAGUCACACGGGCACUGAGACACGGGCCCGACUCCUACGGGAGGCAGCAGUAAGGAAUAUUGGUCAAUGGACGCAAGUCUGAACCAGCCAUGCCGCGUGGAGGA
rnacentral:rRNA from 1 species